CGGAAGCGGGAGGAGGCGGGGCGGCGCUGGCCAGCCGCUUGAGGGUACGCGCUUCUUUUCUCUUACUGGAGUAAAGUAAACCUGAUUGUGCACGCAAACCAUAAAGGAAGGAUGUAUUUUCAAGCCUCUUUGACACCCGAGGAAACAGAUUGUGCAACUGGUGUCCGAAUUCACUCAGACUGAGGUUAUGCCUAGUCCUUUAGGGAUCACAUAUCCCUCAGAGAAGUCUACCAAAGCUGUAGACCUUCUCCCCAGAAAAAUGCAACAAGGUGAAAUGACUAAACAAUCAGGAAAAUAUGGUUCCAAAGUUACUCAAGCUUGUUAUGCUCCAGAGGACCUAGACUCCUGGGAUCACAGAGAGUACACCCUAUGUUUGAUGAGACACAAUUUCCUUGAUUAAGGAAAAAGGGGGUCCCGAUUAUAUUACCAGCUACAUACUUUAGGUGUAUGAUUCCUGGCAUUUUAGACACUGGAAAAAUGUUUCCUUAGCAGAAGCAAAUCAGUUAAUCUUCGCCUUUCUUAUAAUAACCUGUCUUCUCCCUAUUCUUAAUUUUGUACAGAAACAGUUUUUUAGUGAGGUGACCUGCUCAGUUCAAACUGCCUCCUGAAACACAUCAAGUCAUUCUCCUUCCACAUUCACAGCCUGACUAUCUGAAACCAUGAAAGGAAGAUUUCACCUACAACGACCUUGAGGCUCCUUCCACAUAUACCCUUCUUAAGUCUCGACCACCAGGUUCUCCAUGUUCUCUUCCAUUACUCUAAAAGGAGGGGUCCCCCUACUUUGUCCCUUCUCAGCCCCUUCUCAGCAGGAAGCAGUCAGAUCUGAAAUCAUAGCCCCAAAUCAUUUCCCCCUUUCAGAAUCAGGAAUGAAGGAUAUUGGAAAUGACAACCCCCAAACAGGGAAAUGCCAAUCCCUGGGAAGAGGGCAAGACAUUGAUUCUUCCUCAAUAAAUUCCUUCCCAGUGACAAGACAAUCCCUGGGAAGGAGAUAUCCAUCAAUCCUAAAAUGGCAGUCCCUGGGAAGAAGACAAGCACUGACCUUUUCCCAACAAAUCCUUUCCCAGUAACAAUACAAUAGACCCUAGAGGGAAAAAGAUAAGCACUGAAUGCUGAACUCUGGACCCUCCAUCCUUGCUCAGUAAAAAUACUUCCCUGUAAAAACAAGUCUCAAAUUUUUGCAACCUCUUUCCUGAUACCCAAACUGACAAGCCACCUCAACUAUAAAACCGCAAACUCUGUAACUCGUGGCCAUUUUCUUCCCAGAAAGUUUGCCCCUCUAAUGUCUGACUCUGCUGCUGUAUAAAAGGCAUAGCUGAUCCACUAAAUCUGCUCACAUCAUGGUUAUUUGUGCAUUUGUUAUGGUGUUGAAACUGUUUUGGUUAUUUUUGCUUACAUCCCCCAAAAGCUCACAUGUGAGACAAUGCAAGAAA